rnacentral:rRNA from 1 species
CAGACCUCUGAUCAGAAAAGACUACCCGCUGAAUUUAA